rnacentral:rRNA from 1 species
ACGGGUGAGUAAUACAUCGGAACGUGCCCUGUAGUGGGGGAUAACUAGUCGAAAGAUUAGCUAAUACCGCAUACGACCUGAGGGUGAAAGUGGGGGACCGCAAGGCCUCAUGCUAUAGGAGCGGCCGAUGUCUGAUUAGCUAGUUGGUGGGGUAAAGGCCCACCAAGGCGACGAUCAGUAGCUGGUCUGAGAGGACGAUCAGCCACACUGGGACUGAGACACGGCCCAGACUCCUACGGGAGGCAGCAGUGGGGAAUUUUGGACAAUGGGGGCAACCCUGAUCCAGCAAUGCCGCGUGUGUGAAGAAGGCCUUCGGGUUGUAAAGCACUUUUGUCCGGAAAGAAAUCGCACUUACUAAUAUUAGGUGUGGAUGACGGUACCGGAAGAAUAAGGACCGGCUAACUACGUGCCAGCAGCCGCGGUAAUACGUAGGGUCCAAGCGUUAAUCGGAAUUACUGGGCGUAAAGCGUGCGCAGGCGGUUGUGCAAGACCGAUGUGAAAUCCCCGGGCUUAACCUGGGAAUUGCAUUGGUGACUGCACGGCUAGAGUGUGUCAGGGGGGGGUAGAAUUCCACGU